rnacentral:misc_RNA from 1 species
GAUGAAGAACGUAGCGAAAUGCGAUAAGUAAUGUGAAUUGCAGAAUUCAGUGAAUCAUCGAAUCUUUGAACGCACAUUGCGCCCCUUGGCAUUCCGAGGGGCAUGCCUGUUCGAGCGUCAUUGCUGCCCUCAAGCACGGCUUGUGUGUUGGGCCUCCGUCCUCCUCCCGGGGGACGGGCCCGAAAGGCAGCGGCGGCACCGCGUCCGGUCCUCGAGCGUAUGGGGCUUCGUCACCCGCUCUUGUAGGCCCGGCCGGCGCUUGCCGACACAUCAAUCUUUUUUCCAGGUUGACCUCGGAUCAGGUAGGGAUACCCGCUGAACUUAAGCAUAUCAAUAAGCGGAGGA